rnacentral:rRNA from 1 species
UACGUAGGAUCCAAGCGUUGUCCGGAUUUACUGGGUGUAAAGGGUGCGCAGGCGGACUGGUGAGUCUGGGGUGAAAUCUCGCUGCUUAACAGCGAAACUGCCUUAGAUACUAUCAGUCUUGAAUCAGCGAGAGGUUCGUGGAAUUCCGAGUGUAGCAGUGAAAUGUGUAGAUAUCAGGAGGAACACCGGUGGCGAAGGCGGGUCUCUGGGCCGUAACUGACGCUGAGGAGCGAAAGCAUGGGGAGCGAACAGG